rnacentral:snRNA from 1 species
ACGGCUCUCUGAGCUAAGAUCAUGUCUAGGAUCUGUUCUUUGCAGUGUAAUUUCUGCAACAGUCUGUAAACUAGGACCAAUGAAAUUAGCUGUAUUUUUCCUUACGAAUGUUUGUUUAGAGCUUUCCCAGCCCCGUCGAAGGGUCGGCCUCGCAUUGUGUUACCUUGAAGAUUGACCUAUUUGUG